rnacentral:rRNA from 1 species
UUGACCUCAAAUCAGGUAGGCCUACCCACUGAACU